rnacentral:rRNA from 1 species
CGUCUAUAUACGUAUAGCAUAUCAAUAAGCGGAGGAAAAGAAACUAACUAGGAUUCCCUCAGUAACGGCGAGUGAAGCGGGAAGAGCUCAAAUUUGAAAUCUUCAAGGUUCUACCUUGACGAAUUGUAGUUUAAAGAAGUGUUUUCUGUUGGAAUUUUGGUAAAAGUUCUUUGGAAAUAGACAUCAUAAGAGGGUGAGAAUCCCGUAUUUGACCAUUAUUUCCAGCUUUGUGAUACACUUUCAAAGAGUCGGAUUGUUUGGGAAUGCAGUCCAAAAUGGGUGGUAAAUUUCAUCUAAAGCUAAAUACUGGCGAGAGACCGAUAGCGAACAAGUACCGUGAGGGAAAGAUGAAAAGAACUUUGAAAAGAGAGUUAAACAGUACGUGAAAUUGUCAAAAGGGAAGCGUUUGACACCAGUGUUGUUUUCUCGAAAAUCAAUUAAAAAUGGCGGGAUUUUGUGUUGUAUUGACUUUAUCAGCUUUCUGCACUUUUUUCCUGUCUUUUUUAAUGCACUAUUUCGUUUAACAAGUCAACAUCAAUUUCUUUUGUUGUAAAAGGGUCAUUGGAAGGUGGCUUUCUUUUCGGAGAAAGUGUUUAUAGCCUUUGCCUUCUGCAAUCGGAGAGAUUGAGGUCUGCAGCGUAGAUCCUUCGGGGUUAGAUGCAUUUGUGCUAAGCUAUAGCCUUUCAUAGACAACUUGUUGACUAUGAUCAGUCAUGUAGCUUACUCGCUUAUGUCUAUUUUACCUACGCUUAGGAUGUUGACGAUCAGCUGAGCGCG